GGGCCCUUAAUAGGGACUUAUGGGGAACACCACCCCGUAGCGGCUAGAACCCGCAUUGGGCUUCUAUUAAGGAGAAAACAAAUG
rnacentral:ncRNA from 1 species